rnacentral:rRNA from 1 species
CAGCCGCCGCGGUAAUACAGAGGGUGCGAGCGUUAAUCGGAUUUACUGGGCGUAAAGCGUGCGUAGGCGGCUAAUUGAGUCGGAUGUGAAAUCCCCGAGCUUAACUUGGGAAUUGCAUUCGAUACUGGUUAGCUAGAGUGUGGGAGAGGAUGGUAGAAUUCCAGGUGUAGCGGUGAAAUGCGUAGAGAUCCGGAGGAAUACCGAUGGCGAAGGCAGCCAUCUGGCCUAAUACUGACGCUGAGGUACGAAAGCAUGGGGAGCAAACAGGAUUAGAUACCCCUGUAGUCCCUGUCUCUUAUAC